CUUAGUUACGCUUUGAUGCCGACUGACGAUGACUGUACCCGUGCUCAAGUGCCAUUUCGGGAAAAGGAGGAAAAAAAGUGGACAAGACAGAGGGAAUUCGCACCAGUGGUGACUGCUAGCAAGAUUCUUGAGCAAAUGGACCAAUCUUUAGAUGAUCCUGGCCUCCUGGGUCUUUUGCCACUGGACAACUGACCAAAACUGUACUUGUUAGUAUCUAUAAAGACAAUGCAGAAACAUGCAAAAAGAUCUUCCACAUCAGUGAUGCCCCACUACUUUUGACAUUCUGUUACUCAGAAUUCUUCCAUCCUGUUCAGUUAGAACGGCUUCUUAUAUAUAACAAAGACUUAAAUGACUGCAUUGACUGUGACAUCACCACAACUGUGCAAGACUAUGACAAAUUUCAAGUUUAUGUGGCCACUGAAAUCCACCUAGAGAUCAUCAAUGUUCAGCCUACCCAGAAAGUAAUCAGUGCCGUUACAGUCAUUCCUGACCAGGAAGGCACCUGAUACAAUAGCUGAAUAUGAGUGCACAGGGGUGUUCUCUACAGAAGGAAGGAAAAGGAUCAUCACUGUUAGCGUCGGUGAUCUUGUGGCAAAACAUGGAUUGAGCAUCUAUAUGACCCUGUGUCCCACAAAGGAUUCAUAGAAAUCAAGCUUCGGAAUAUGAGGCAGCAUCUUGAAGAACGAAAAGUGUUUCAGCAGAAACAUCGGUAACACAGUCACCAGCUGAUGAAGACCCAAUUGAGUGGUUGACCAUCAUCAAGAGAAUGAAGCCAUCAGCUGAGAACAUCACCACUAUCAAAACUGCAAUGGAAAAGACCUUCAAACAUUGCAGGAAUUGGAUCAGCACGCAGAUGCCAACAGUUGGUGACAUUUCCCAACAGUACCCCUGUUUCAUCAACAUGCCUUCCCUGCUAGAUGCAGAGUUUGGAAAGAUGUUUGAUGGAAAGGGAGAGAUGCUAAUCCGAAGAUGGGAAUCCUCAGUUAUUCCAAAACUGACACGGAUCGUGGCUUUGGAGAAGGGGAGUGUAACCACUCUGUUGGAAGAAUGCAAACUGUAAUGAUGAUGUGAAGUGCUACACUAUCCUCCAAGUCCUGACACACUUGCUUCCGCCAACUGCAGGAAGAGGUGCAGUAUCAAAUCUGCUAUUUCAUAUCUGCUGGACAAGUUUUAUUUAGUUAUGAGUAUGACCUUGUAUCACUGAUAAUAAACUUAAUGAUCCUUAACAUGUAUG